CAGGAUGUGGAUCAGUGUCUUACUGUCAAGUUCUGAGAAGGUGUUAUGCCUGACUCCAUGGUGGCUCAGCAAAGGCUUCCCUGGCAGGUAACUUUUAAGCAUGUAUACAGCAGGUUGGUUGUUCUCAAGCAGCUUUCGAACUGCCAGGGAUGUGGUAUACAGCUGUGAAGGCAGAACAUCCAUACUCCCAGGAAUUUUCAUGUUACUUAACAGAAAUGGAUUAUUUAAUCAGCGAAACAUUCCUGAGAACUAGCUUGGAAUUACUGCCCUCAUUUUACAAGAGCAAACAACACAGAGGGAUCACAGGACAGAUUCUGUGAGAUACUUGGAUGCUGAGCAAGGUUUUCCAGGGCAUGAAGAUAUUUAAUUCUCACUGAAAGCAAUUAAAAGACUGGAAAUGGUAAAGCAGUAUUUCAGUGU